GAGUGGCGAACGGGUGAGUAAUGUAUCGGAACGUACCCAGUAGCGGGGGAUAACUACGCGAAAGCGUGGCUAAUACCGCAUACGCCCUUUGGGGGAAAGCGGGGGACCUUCGGGCCUCGCACUAUUGGAGCGGCCGAUAUCGGAUUAGCUAGUUGGUGAGGUAAAGGCUCACCAAGGCGACGAUCCGUAGCUGGUUUGAGAGGACGACCAGCCACACUGGGACUGAGACACGGCCCAGACUCCUACGGGAGGCAGCAGUGGGGAAUUUUGGACAAUGGGGGCAACCCUGAUCCAGCCAUCCCGCGUGUGCGAUGAAGGCCUUCGGGUUGUAAAGCACUUUUGGCAGGGAAGAAAAGGUGCCGGUGAAUACCCGGCGCCGCUGACGGUACCUGCAGAAUAAGCACCGGCUAACUACGUGCCAGCAGCCGCGGUAAUACGUAGGGUGCAAGCGUUAAUCGGAAUUACUGGGCGUAAAGCGUGCGCAGGCGGCUCGGAAAGAAAGAUGUGAAAUCCCAGGGCUUAACCUUGGAAUGGCAUUUUUAACUCCCGAGCUAGAGUAUGUCAGAGGGGGGUAGAAUUCCACGUGUAGCAGUGAAAUGCGUAGAGAUGUGGAGGAAUACCGAUGGCGAAGGCAGCCCCCUGGGAUAA
rnacentral:rRNA from 1 species